rnacentral:rRNA from 1 species
CUGCCCAAUGAGGUUUUAAAUGGCCGCGGUACUUUGACCGUGCAAAGGUAGCAUAAUCAAUAGUUUUUUAAUUGAAAGCUGGUAUGAAAGGUUGGAUGAGAAAAUGACUGUCUCUAUUUAAAUUAUUUAAAAUUUUAUUUUUAAGUUAAAAAGCUUAAAUUAUAAUAAAAGACGAGAAGACCCUAUAGAGUUUUAUAAAUUUUGUUUUGAAAUGCCUUUAGAAUUAAAAAAAUUUUAAAUUAAAAUCUAUUUAGUUGGGGUGAUUGAAAAAUUAAACAAACUUUUUUUGUAUAAUAACAUUAAUUUAUGAUUAUUGGAUCCUUAAAUAAAGAUUAAAAGAAAAAAUUACCUUAGGGAUAACAGCGUAAUUUUUUUAAAGAGUUCAAAUCGAAAAAAAAGAUUGCGACCUCGAUGUUGGAUUAAAAUAAAAUUUUGGUGUAGGGGCUAAAGUAUUUGGGUCUGUUCGACCCUUAAAAUUUUACAUGAUCUGAGUUUAAACCGGUGU